UGUGUUAUCACGGUGCUGUUUUUUGUGUUGUGAUUGUCCAUCAAUACGUGAAAAUUUUAUCAAUCUUAUGUGGAAUUAAAAGUUCAAAGGUUUCCCUAGGAGGAGACGACUAACGAAAAAAAAUGUGUUUUUUCAAAUGUAACAAUAAUCUCAGGGUGGCAGCAAUUCUUGGAUCAAGACCGCUGCGCCCCUCGACUAUGGAGGGUAGAGCAGGUCCUGGGGAAAGAGCGUGAAAGGAAGUGAAACAAUUUUUGAUAAAAAGUUGUUCACUCCAAUUUUUUACGUGAUUCGGCGAGAUUAAAAGAUCAAACAGUU